AUUUUCAGCUGACCCAGCCCUUUUAUUUCAAUGGGCCAGUACUCUUCAAUCAAAUUUUAUUUUCCAACCCACCAAUAGAGACCCAUCUGACUGGAGCAAUAACCCAUUCCCAACCCAGUUUCUGCAAUUCGCCAUCCUACCAAUCCCCAGCCCGUUCUCAAUCCCUUUGACCCGGCCCACCUUUUUUCCAAGAAGAAAUCAAGAGCGUGGUAACAACAAGAAAGCGAUGCUUGUUCAGCCGAAUGGAGACUCGAGGCGUGAACAACAAAUUUCCAACCCUGCACAUCCUACUCAAUCCGUACAGUCGCAGCCGCAAAGACAAGGCGCGUUUUUCGUCCUUUUUCAGUGCGAGAUCAAUCCACCUAGCAACGAGGACUGUUAGUUCAAUCCCAGGCGUCGAUUUCCCCUUCCAUUUCGGGAAUGAGUUUGAAAACAUCAUAAAUAAUGUUUAUCCAAAUUGGUGAAAGGUGUUUGAAUUUUGAAUUGAGGAUGGGUUUUGGUUCGGAUCUGAAAUUUCACAUUUUUCCCUCCAAAGGGAAGUUUUAGCCCUAAUUCUUAUCUAUAUAUAAACUCUUUUUAUUUUUAUUGUGGGGGAGGGGGAGUAAAAUUAUUUACCGAGAUUUUUUUUUUAGUUGGGAAAAUUCUGAACUUGGGGAAAGAUUUUGGUUUGGAGAAGAUAGUUUGAAAGUUGGGAGAAAGUAGUAACUAUAAGCUACAAAAAUUUCAUAUAUAAAUACAUAGGAAUAUCUCGUUGAGGUAGAGAUAUCGAAAGCUUAGGUAUAGUUUGAUUACUUGUUCGUUUCUCAUCCACUAAAAUCUCGUGCAGUCGCUAGAAAGUCGUUCCCCUGCUCGUUUGGCCUCGAUUCGCUGCAUACAGAAAAAACUCUACCUUGCAUGUUCAAAGGGGACACAAAAUCCUCGAAACUACUUUUGCCCGAAUAAGCCAAUCCAAAAUCGAAUAACAGGUCUCGGAGCCGAGAUAUGAAGUAGAUUGGAGAUUUGAAAGAAGAUCGGGUCAAAAGGCCCAUUUUUAUUUACCCUACAUAAUUGUAUUUUGUUACUUUUGGGUCUAGGCCCUUAUCAUAUUGUAUUAUCAUUAUUUUACUAGUUAAGGACAGGUACAAUCGAAUGGGCCUAAGGGCCCAAAAUGAAAUAUGUCCAAAUAUAGGUCCAGGUGUAUAGAAAACCCGAUUUUGGAACCAA